rnacentral:rRNA from 1 species
GAUGAACGCUGGCGGCGUGCCUAAUACAUGCAAGUCGAGCGAACAGAUAAGGAGCUUGCUCCUUUGACGUUAGCGGCGGACGGGUGAGUAACACGUGGGUAACCUACCUAUAAGACUGGGAUAACUUCGGGAAACCGGAGCUAAUACCGGAUAAUAUUUCGAACCGCAUGGUUCGAUAGUGAAAGAUGGUUUUGCUAUCACUUAUAGAUGGACCCGCGCCGUAUUAGCUAGUUGGUGAGGUAACGGCUUACCAAGGCGACGAUACGUAGCCGACCUGAGAGGGUGAUCGGCCACACUGGAACUGAGACACGGUCCAGACUCCUACGGGAGGCAGCAGUAGGGAAUCUUCCGCAAUGGGCGAAAGCCUGACGGAGCAACGCCGCGUGAGUGAUGAAGGUCUUCGGAUCGUAAAACUCUGUUAUUAGGGAAGAACAUACGUGUAAGUAACUGUGCACGUCUUGACGGUACCUAAUCAGAAAGCCACGGCUAACUACGUG